GACGAACGCUGGCGGCGCGCUUAAUACAUGCAAGUCGAACGAGAACCAGAAGGUGCUUGCACCAUCUGGGGAAAGUGGCGAACGGGUGAGUAACACAUGAGAAACCUGCCCCAAAGACUGGGAUAAGCCUUGGAAACGAGGUCUAAUACCGGAUACCUUCUUUUUAUCGCAUGAUAAAGAGAAGAAAUGCUCCGGCGCUUUGGGAUGGUCUCGUGGUCUAUCAGCUUGUUGGUGAGGUAAAAGCUCACCAAGGCAUCGACGGAUAGCUGGUCUGAGAGGAUGUCCAGCCACACUGGAACUGAGACACGGUCCAGACUCCUACGGGAGGCAGCAGUAGGGAAUCUUGCACAAUGAGGGAAACCUUGAUGCAGCGACGCCGCGUGCGGGACGAAGGCCCUAGGGUUGUAAACCGCUUUCAGUUGGGACGAAAGUGACGGUACCAACAGAAGAAGCCCCGGCCAACUAUGUG
rnacentral:rRNA from 1 species